rnacentral:rRNA from 1 species
AGAGGAGCGAACCUGUGAGGGUAAGCGGAUCUCAAAAAAGACCAUCUCAGUUCGGAUUGUGGGCUGCAACCCGCCCACAUGAAGUUGGAGUUGCUAGUAAUCGCGGAUCAGAAUGCCGCGGUGAAUACGUUCCCGGGCCUUGUACACACCGCCCGUCAAGCCAUGGGAGCCGGGGGUGCUUGAAGUGCGUCGCCGCAAGGCGCGCCCUAGAGCAAAACCGGUGACUGGGGCUAAGUCGUAACAAGGUAAC